rnacentral:rRNA from 1 species
UACGUAGGGUGCAAGCGUUGUCCGGAAUUAUUGGGCGUAAAGAGCUUGUAGGCGGUUUGUCGCGUCUGCUGUGAAAUUUCGGGGCUCAACCCCGAACUUGCAGUGGGUACGGGCGACUAGAGUGUGGUAGGGGAGACUGGAAUUCCUGGUGUAGCGGUGAAAUGCGCAGAUAUUAGGAAGAACACCAAUGGCGAAGGCAGCUCUCUGGGACGGUACUGACGCUGAGACGCGAAAGCGUGGGGAGCGAACAGG